rnacentral:rRNA from 1 species
GCGCGCAGGUGGUUCCUUAAGUCCUGAUGUGAAAGCCCACGGCUCAACCGUGGAGGGUCAUUGGAAACUGGGGAACUUGAGUGCAGAAGAGGAAAGUGGAAUUCCAAGUGUAGCGGUGAAAUGCGUAGAGAUUUGGAGGAACACCAGUGGCGAAGGCGACUUUCUGGUCUGUAACUGACACUGAGGCGCGAAAGCGUGGGGAGCAAACAGGAUUAGAUACCCUGGUAGUCCACGCCGUAAACGAUGAGUGCUAAGUGUUAGAGGGUUUCCGCCCUUUAGUGCUGCAGCUAACGCAUUAAGCACUCCGCCUGGGGAGUACGGCCGCAAGGCUGAAACUCAAG